rnacentral:rRNA from 1 species
AUUUGGCGGACGGGUGAGUAACGCGUUGGUGACCUGCCCCAAAGCGGGGGAUAACUGUCCGAAAGGGCGGCUAAUACCCCAUGCGCUGGAGUGCGUUAGAGAAGCUUCAGUAAAGGCGAAAGCCACUUCGGGAGGGGCCUGCGUCCCAUCAGCUAGUUGGUGCGGUAACGGCGCACCAAGGCGAUGACGGGUAGGGGACCUGAGAGGGUGGCCCCCCACAAUGGAACUGAAACACGGUCCAUACACCUACGGGUGGCAGCAGUAGGGAAUAUUGCAAAAUGGGCACAAGCCUGAUGCAGCAACGCCGCGUGGGCGAUGAAGGCCUUCGGGUCGUAAAGCCCUUUUUGGAGGGAAGAGGAAGGACGGUACCUCCAGAAUAAGCCUCGGCUAACUACGUGCCAGCAGCCGCGGUAAUAAU